ACCGGGGUAGCUGACGCCUUUAAGGGAAUGGGGGCGACCACACUGGGGCUGCUCUUCUGUAUCGGUAAACAGAGCCUACAUUUAGGACUCAAACUCUGCCAGGGGACCCCCCUUUCCCCUCCAGUAUUUCAAACAGAAACUAGCCAUUGAGUAAACACAUGUUGCUGUUGGUUUAUUUUGGUUGAGAGUUAGGACUCCAGCAGGACUGCCUUGAUGAAAUUACCCUUUCUAAAGACCAGAUGCUGUUUGGCUAAUCUCAAGAAAUGCAUGACUUUCCCCGCCCUUUCCUCUGGGUCUAGUUUUUCGUGUGUGUGUGUCCCGUUGUUUUGAAGUAAACGAACUGUCGCAUGCCACAGUAAGACUUUCCCCGUCACUUAAAAAAAAACACCCAAACCGUAAAUAAACCUAGUAGAGACGUCAGCGACCGAGUCGGCCUCCAGUUUCGGCUCUGUGCUGUUUUUGUUUUGUAACCUCGACGGAGAGGCCGGCAGAAGCUCCGUGGAAAUACGGCUGAACCCAAGGACGACUAAGGGAGCCAAACGAGGACACACUGCAAACGGCAAAGGAGAAACGUGGUCCUGGGGGGAACCACCAGCCUGGAAGCUCCCCCGCAGCUCGCCGGAGCGCAGUUCCUUCCCCCGCCUGGCGGGAGAUGAAUCAGCGGCUGAGCCCGAGUGCGGGACAGAUGUGCGGCCGGGAGGGGCGCCUGUUGGAGCGCCGCUCGGUGCCUGCGUUUGAAGGCACACUUAGUUCCAUUUGGGGUUUUAUGUUCUGAAGCUGCCUCAAGGCCAAGAAAAGAAACAGUUGCAUAAAUGACAUGUUCUGAGCCUAUUGCUUGCUGACUGCAUCUGCCCUGCAUCCGCCACUCUGAGACUCCCCAGUGACCUUGUCUUUCCUGGACGCCAGUGUCUUUCCCUUGGUUUAUUCCUUUGUCUUGCUGAGGCAUAUUGCCAGGUAACUUCCUAAGAAAGGAUACAUGGGAAGUGAAAUUUCUGCAUCCUUGCAUGUUGGGAUCUGCAGGACAUCUGACUUCCUCUCAGGUUCCAUUGAAAAAAUGGAAAAGAAGCCCCAAAAGAUGAUUAAAUGGCACGAGUGAUGGGAAGCAAAGAAAGAUCUCGGGCUGCAAAGUUUGAAGUUAUGAUGGAAGAUAGUAGAAGAGAUUACAGGGAAAAGAAUGGGGGGUAAUACCACAGCCCAAGUAUCAAAUGUAAGAUAUUUUUCCUGAGGAAGCAUCUAAGCUCACAGUCAACAAAUCCAUACAUCACUUGCGGGGAGAGAGUUACAUCAUGCCAGUUCCUGAUGCAAGCCUCACCUUUGAGAGGACUGGGAGCUUCCACUUCCUUCCUCUUGCAGCUCCUGGAACCCAGCUAGCUACCUGUCAGGACCCAGUGGCCACCCACGACAAGCAUAAGCCACAUGGAAAGGCCAAGUGAAGGUGCUCCAGUCAACAAUACACUCUGAUUUACAAAUAUUGAUAGCUGAAAAGGGAAGAGGACGUGAAUGGUAAAGUAUAUAAAGCCCUCAUCUUUAACAGAAGGAUCAAGACACAGCAAUAUAAUUUAAAGUGUUAACUGCAACCACCAGAAAAACAAAACACAACUUUUGAAGUUAUUUUAGCCAAAUGGGACUAAAGGUUGGAAUAAUUCAGAAGACAACUUACAUUUUUUAUUUUAGACUCUUGUAGUUUUUUUGUCAUGUAAACUAUUUCCUUAUUUUUUUAAACUUAGUUAAAAUGUUAUAUUUAAUGCAUAAAAAAUAAAAGAACUAUAAGAAAAUA